GAGUUUGAUCUUGGCUCAGAUUGAACGCUGGCGGCAGGCCUAACACAUGCAAGUCGGGCGGUAGAGAGAAGCUUGCUUCUCUUGAGAGCGGCGGACGGGUGAGUAAUGCCUAGGAAUCUGCCUGGUAGUGGGGGAUAACGCUCGGAAACGGACGCCAAUACCGCAUACGCCCUACGGAGAAAGCAGGGGACCUUCGGGCCUUGCGCUAUCAGAUGAGCCUAGGUCGGAUUAGCUAGUUGGUGAGGUAAUGGCUCACCAAGGCGACGAUCCGUAACUGGUCUGAGAGGAUGAUCAGUCACACUGGAACUGAGACACGGUCCAGACUCCUACGGGAGGCAGCAGUGGGGAAUAUUGGACAAUGGGCGAAAGCCUGAUCCAGCCAUGCCGCGUGUGUGAAGAAGGUCUUCGGAUUGUAAAGCACUUUAAGUUGGGAGGAAGGGCAGUAAAUUAAUACUUUGCUGUUUUGACGUUACCGACAGAAUAAGCACCGGCUAACUCUGUGCCAGCCGCCGACCG
rnacentral:rRNA from 1 species